ACUAAGCCUAAAAAAGUAACUAUUUGGGCAGAAUGAAAAACAGAGGAUUCGAAAAAGGCACUAUAUUCUGUUAGAACUGGAAAUCCAGUAGCGGCAGCAUCGCGAGAUUAUUCGCGAGAACAUUCCUCAAAGAACUCUUAGAGACUGGUUAACGAGAAAGGAUAGAUCACCAAAAGGUAAACUAGAUCGAAAGUGCAUUAUUCCUGAAACAGUAGAAUCUGAGUUGAAGCAAAGAGUAUUUCGUCUUCAAGAAAUAGGAUUUGGUAUUGCAAGAAUACAACUUUGAAAAUAUGCAUAUGAAAUAUGUACUCAAAAAAAUUUGCCAUAUUGUUUCAAGAACGAAAUCGCUGACAAAGAUUGGCUUAAAAGAUUUCUUAGGCACCAUCCUGAUGUUGCUCCUAGGAAAUGAGAAAGCUUGAGUUAUAGUAGACUAACACAAUUUAAUGCUGAAACUGUUAAAAACUUUAAAAUCUACGAAAAACUAAAUUUGCCACACCAUCCUAAACUGAUUUACAAUGUCAAUGAAUCUGAAUUGCAAUUAACAAUAACUGGCACUCUUGUAGUAAGUCAUUUUAACCAGCACCAAUUACCAGGAAAAGCUUUGUUGAUUUUCGACGUACUUUGUAGCCAUUUGGAUAUUGCUGUAAUAGAGGAAGCCAAAAAGUUAAACAUCCAUAUGCUUUGCCUUCCAGCGCAUUGUAGUCACGAACUUCAACCUCUGGACAAAAGCGUUUUUAAACCAUUAAAAACUUACUGGAAUGUUUCCAUUGAUAAUUUCUGAAAAUUUCCUGGAUAAUCACUUUUAAAACUGCAAUUUCCACUAUAAUUUACUGAAGCAUGGUUGCAUACCGUUACACCAGCAAAUGCCAUAUUAGGAUUCAGAUCAAAAGGAAUCUAUCCUUUCAACCCUAAUAUUAUCCCCCAAGUAGCUUUUGCACCCAGUGAAAUUUCUAAUUGCAUAAACGUCAAAAGUCCUGAUGUUGACAAGUUAGUACUUUGGAAACUGGAUCUUCAGACCCUGCAUCUAGUAUCCAUUUAAUAAUUUUAUCACCUAAAAUAAUUAGAAAAGUAAAAACUAGAAGAUCAUUAAAUGUGCAAGCCUUUGUUGUCGAUCAAAAUUUAGUUGCUGAUAAAAUAACUGAAACGCCUAGGCCAAGUCAAACAAAAAUGGCCAUGAAACAUAACUUGAAAAUCAUCGAAAAAGAGAAGUAAGAAUAACAAAGAUACGUUUUGUGGUGAUUGCGGACUCUUUUAGAACCACAAAAGAAAAAAGAUAAUUGGAUUCAAUGGUGCAAAACUUGGUUGCAUGAGCACUGUAACACAGGAAGCAUCUUAAAAAGUGGCCUAUGCACUUUGUGCAAAGUAGAGUACACAUCAAGUAGCAAAAGUGACUAAACAAUCAGAUUUGUAAUAAAAAGUUAAACAAAUUUUAUGAAUAAUGAUUCAUUUUUUA